UACAGAGGUCCCAAGCGUUGUUCGGAUUCAUUGGGCGUAAAGGGUGCGUAGGCGGCGCGGUAAGUCGGGUGUGAAAUCUCGGAGCUUAACUCCGAAACUGCAUUCGAUACUGCCGUGCUUGAGGACUGGAGAGGAGACUGGAAUUUACGGUGUAGCGGUGAAAUGCGUAGAUAUCGUAAGGAAGACCAGUGGCGAAGGCGGGUCUCUGGACAGUUCCUGACGCUGAGGUACGAAGGCCAGGGGAGCAAACGGG
rnacentral:rRNA from 1 species